AGGAGGCGGGGCAGGGGCUGGGCGUUGACUAUGUCGUAGCACAUGGCCAGGCGGUGCGCGGACUCUGGGAGGCGAAGCUUAGGACGGGCCCACGUGGGGAGGGGCCCAGGGUCCGGGAGGCGGGGCCGAGUCCGGGCUGGGCUGCGCUUAGGAGGCGGGCCCUGGGAGGCGGAGCUUAGGGAGGGGCCGGUGUCGGGAGUGACCCAGGGACUGGGAGGCCGGUUGGGGCUGGGCUCAGGGGCUGAGACCUAGCUGGGCUUGGGGCGGGGCCGAGACGGAGCGAGGGGUCCAGGGUGUGGGAAAUGGGGAGGGAUUUGAGGAGGGGAUCGGAAUGUGGCUCAAGUUCGGGAGGCGUUACCUGCGGAGGGUUUGAGGCAGGCCCAGGAGCGAGCCCAUGAUCUUCCGACGCGGGGCCAGGGGCGGGUCCCAGGAUCCGGAGCUUCGGGCGGGGCCGAGUCCGGGUUUGGGGCCCGGGAGGUGGGGCCAGUUAGGGCGAGGGUCCCUGGGAUCGUCGGGUCAGGCCUUGGGCUAACGUAGGCACUCUCGCAGUUCCUCCGCCUUCAGGAAGGUCUUUUUAGCAGGGGCCUUACGGGUGCAUGCUUCGGUCCUGGAGGACUUAUCCUAGCCUCCUCUCCAUCAGCGCCACCCGUCUGGGUCCCGAAAGGAGGGAGCUUUCCCUCUGUCCCCCAGCCUUUGGACUGUCACCAAACAAGCCAUUCGUUCACCAAAUACUUUUUAAGCGCCUACCAUGUGCCUGACAAGGGAGAUGUAACGGUGAGAAAAACUAGGUGUGGUCCAGGCCCUUCAGGGGCUCAGGGGCUCGUGGAAGAAGUGGACAUUCAAGUACUUAUCACACAAAUGAGGAUAAAAGUAAGAUAGCGAUAUCUACCACGAAGGUGAGCAGACAGAGCUAGCGGGGCUUGCAGGAGGAGAUUUGAUCUUGCAGGGACAGGAAAGAGGAGUUAACUCCUGCGGGGUGGGAUUGGGGAUGGUGGUGAUAUAGACGUGGGGACAGAGUGGAAAACAACAAAAAUAUAAUUAUUUUCGUUCAAAGUUAUUGUGUCUUGAGUUGAAAGGAAGGGCAGUUAGCAACACAGUUUAGAUUUCAGUACUGCCCCUGAAAUCUGAACUGUGUUCAAAGUCUAAAACGUUUACCUUAGCAAAUUCCUCAUAAAACUCCAUUUGGAAGAGUCCCGAGAGCGAAUUUGUUAAGUAUACUUGCAAAAGGUAGAUGAGGAGACAGAUAAAAUCUUAUUACCUUUUUCCGAUGAGAGGCAUUUGAGCCCUGCUCAGCUAUGAGAAUAAGAGAGGGGAAUUAAUUCUAAUUGAAUACACUUGUUCUCUUAUAGCUGUUGUUCCCCACCAGAACCAAAUGAGCGCAAGAUCUGACAAAGAAAAAAAAAGGUUCAUCUUUUAUUUCUCCAAACACUUUCAUUUAAAUCAAGAGGAUGGGAUGUGGUUAUAGCUGUGUUUUUAGACAGAAUCAACGGUUUCUGGGUCUGAGAUGUUGCAUACACCCUCGCAGUCCCUGUAUCCUGAGAUGGAGUCACCUGAGAAUCCACAGCAAGUCCUAACCAGGGAUGGGUCUGGGUGAUUAACGAAGAUUGGCUUCAGAACUGGGCCAGGCGCACUGCUUUGCUUUUGCUGUUUUGAUCAGCUCUCUGCCUGCAGGAGACAAGUAAAACCAAUGGGAACAGCCCAGUAAAGUCGCCAUUCCCCAUUUUACAGCUGGGGAAACUGAGAUACAGAGCUUUUCUGCACUGAGUCAUCAGGAGCAAAUACUAGAUCAGAUAGGGUCUCUCUCUCUGCCACCCAGGCCAGAGUGCAGUUGAUGCAGGGCAGGGGAGCCCCGAAGUGGAGCAUAGUGUGUCCGGAACUGGUGGGUUCUUGGUCUCACUGACUUCAAGAAAGAAGCCGCGGACCCUCGCGGUGAGUGUCACAGUUCUUAAAGGCGGCGUGUCCAGAGUUUGUUCCUUCUGAUGCUCGGAUGUGUUCAGAGUUUCUUCCUUCUGGUGGUUUUGUGGUCUCGCUGGCUUCAGGAGUGAAGCUGCAGACCUUCAAGGUGAGUGUUACAGCUCUUAAGGUGGCGCGUCUGGAGUUGUUUGUUCCUCCCGGUGGGUUCGUAGUCUCGCUGGCUUCAGGAGUGAAGCUGCAGACCUUCGAGGUGAGUGUUACAGCUCAUAAAGGCAGUGUGGACCCAAAGAGUGAGAACCAGCAAGAUUUAUUGCAAAGAGCAAAAGAACAAAGCUUCCACAGUGUGGAAACGGACCCCAGUGGGUUGCCACUGCUGGCUGGGGCAGCCUGCUUUUACUCCCUUCUCUGGCUCACCCACAUCCUGCUGAUUGGUCCAUUUUACAGAGAGCCGAUUGGUCUGUUUUACAGAGAGCUGAUGGGUCUGUUUUGACAGGGUGCUGUUUGGUGCAUUUACAAUCCCUGAGCUAGGCACAAAAGUUCACCAAGUCCCCACUAGAUUAGCUAGAUACGGAGUGUCGACUGGUGCGUUCACAAAUCCUGAGCUAGACACAGGGUGCAGAUUGGUGUGUUUACAAACCUUGAGCUAGAUACAGAGUGCUGAUUGGUGUAUUUACAAUCCCUUAGCUAGACAUAAAGGUUCUCAAAGUCCCCACCAGACUCAGGAGCCCAGCUGGCUUCACCAAGUGGGUCCCAAACGGGGGCCACAGGUGGAGCUGCCUGCCAGUCCCGUGCCCUGUGCUGGCACUCCUCAGCCCUUGGGUGGUCGAAGGGACUGGGUGCCCUGGAGCAGGGGGCGGUGCUCGUCGGGGAGGCUCGGUACUCAUCGGGGACGCUCAGGUCGUGCAGGAGCCCAUGGCGGGUUGGGCGGAGGCUCAGGCAUGGCGGGCUGCAUGUCCCGAGCCCUGCCCUGCAGGGAAGCAGCUAAGGGCCAGUGAGAAAUUGAGCAAAGAAGCUGCUGGCCCAAGUGCUAAGCCCUUCACUACCCGGGUCCAGCGGGACCGGCGAGCCACUCCGAGUGCAGGGCCCAGUGAGCCCAUGUCCACCCGGAACUCGCACUGGCCCACAAGCGCCGUGCCCAGCCCUGGUUCCUGCCCGCGCCUCUCCCUCUACACCUCCCCACAAGCUGAGGGAGCCGGCUCCAGCCUCCGCCAGCCCAGGAAGGGGCUCCCACAGUGCAGCGGUGCGCUGAAGGGCUCCUCAAGUGCCACCAAAGUGGGAGCCCAGGCAGAGGAGGGGCCGAGAGUGAGCUCGAGGGCUGCUAGCAUGCUGUCACCUCUCAAUAGCACGUGAGGGUUCUUGUCUUUACCCAGGAAAGAAUUCAAGGGCAAGCCGGAGGUUUAGAAGAAAACAGCUUUAUUGAAGAUGCAGCAUUACAGCCGUGUGACUGCUCCUGUAGGGCAGGGCUACCCUGGAGGCAGAGAGUAGCGGCAGAGAGUUUGCAAUCACAUUUGUACUCACUUUUAAUUGCAUGCAGAUUAAAGGGCAGUUUAUGCAGAAAUUUCUAGAAAAUCGGUAGUAACUUUUGAGUCAUUGGGUCAUUGCCAUGGAAAGGGGCAGUAACUCCCUGGCGUUGCCUUGGCAAUUGUAAACUCACAUGGCACACUGGUGGGCAUGUCUGAUGGAAAGCUUCUUCUGCCCCAGCCCUGUUUUAGGUAGUCCUCAAUUUGGUCUGGUGUCCAAGCCCUGCCUGCGGAGUCAAGUCCUGCCUCCUAUCUCACAGUGGCGUGAUCAUGGCUCACUGCAGACUCAACACCCCUGGGCUCAAGCAGUUCUCCCACCUCAGCCUCCUGAGUUGCUGGUACCACAGGCACGUGCCACUACACCCAGCUACAUUUUUUGCAUUUUUUGUGGAGAUGGUGUUUCACUGUGUUGCCUAGGCUGGUCUCAAACUCCUGGGCUCAAGCAAUGUACCUACGUUAGCCUCCUAAAGUGCUGGGAUUACAGGUGUGAGCCACUGCACCCAGCCCAAGCUUACAUUUUUAAUCUCAAGUCACUUCUCUCUACGUUUUGAUUUCUUCUUUAAAAUGGCGGAACUAAGAGCAUCUAUUUUAUAAGGUUGUUGGGAAGACAAAAAUGAAAGAACUGCUGUUCAAUGUUUAGUGAAGCGCUGUGCACAGUUUUGAAUAAUGAAGUUGGUGUUUAUUUUUUAUUAUUUGUUUAUUUAUUUUUUAGAGACGGGGUCUUGCUCUGUUGCUCCAGCUGGAGUGCAGUAGUGCAAUCACAGCUUAGUGCAGGAUUGACCUCCUGGGCUCAAGAAAUCCUGCCACCUCAGCCUCCUGAGUAGCUGGGACUACAGGCAUGCAUCGCCAUGUCUGGCUAUUUAUUUAUUUGUUGGUUUUUUGUAGAGAUGGCAUCUCCCUUUGUUGCUCACGCUGGUCUUGAACUCCUGGCCUUAAUCAAUCCUCCUGUCUUGGCCUCCCAAAACACUGAGAUUACAAGUGUGAACCACCAUGGCCAGCCUUAUUUUUAUUUUCAAAUCAGCCUUGUCAAGUUGAAUUGGUCAUUAAUCUUGUAUAACGGUAACUUGGGGCAGCAUUGGUUGGGCGGGGGGUGGGGAACAUUUAGGACCCUGUGGGCUACAACUCGUAGUGUGUGCACUUAUUUUAUUUUAUUUUGUUUUGUUUUGUUUUGUUUUAUUAUGUUAUAUUAUAUUAUAUUAUAUUAUAUUAUAUUAUAUUAUGUUAUAUUUAUUAUAUUUUUUUGAGACAGGGUCUCACUCUGUUGCCCAGACUGGAGUGCAGUAGCAUGAUCUUGGCUCACUGCAACCUCUGCCUCCCAGGUUCAAGCGAUUCCCCUGCCUCAGCUUCCAGAGCAGCUGGAACUACAGAUGCGGGCCACCAUGCCCGGCUAAUUUUUGCUUUUUUAGUAGAGCUGGGGUGUCACCAUGUUGGCCAGGCUGGUCUCAAACUCCUGACCUCAGGUGAUACACUUGCCUCAGCCUCCCAAAGUGCUAGGAUUAUAGGCGUGAGCUACCGUGCCCGGCUGUGCACUUAUGUAUGAUUUUUGCAGAACCACUCUUCCCUAAUGGUUGUCUCCUAGAUCCAAAGUGACUUUAUUCAUUUUAGAAUGAACUUACCCCAUUGAUAAUGUAACCAGAGUUGGCAUACAUCACGAUUGGCAGAACCCGGUCAUGUUUAGCGAGAUGGAAGUGUUCUGGAAACUCCUUCUUCUUGUAGACGUGGAGGUGAGGGUGCGCAUUCUUCAGUGCCUGGUAAAGGGCUUCCUCUUGCCCCAACUUGGGCAGGGGCAUCCCAAAGCCACUGUAGCCCACAAUAUCAAACUUGACCAGGUCCCUGAACUUGAAGUAGUUGGACAAGCGGAUCUUGUUGACAUUGGGUCUCUUCUUCACGGUGGUCAUCCCAUGGUCUCAUGUGAUGAUGACGCUGAGGUGCUCUGCAGGCUGUGCUUCUCAGUGACUCCCACCAGAUACCCGAUGGUCCUGUCAAUUAGCUGAAUCAUCAACUUCCUGCUCUCUGCCUCUGGCCCGAAUAGUUGUCCCACAUUAUCUGGCUCUCUGUAGCACAGAGUCACAAAAUCAAAGUCUUCCUUGGUGAACCAGUUCAUGACGGUAUCGAUGUUCUCCCUCUGCUCUGUCUCGUUGCUGUUUGGGUGAGUGUAGGACUCCACCAGGGACCGCUUGACAGCCUCACCCUCGUAUUUAGCACCUCCCCUGGAAUAGUGGAAUGAUGCCGCUUUGUUCCCCUGCAAGUACAAGAAGAAAAUUCCAUCAGGGCCAUUUCUCAUACCUUUCUCACAAUCAGCAAAGCUUGAGUUGUCUACAUCUGUCCCCCUGUCCAAAGGUGUAGAAAAUAUGUGGUCUUUGGAGUCAGACAGGGUGGAGUUAGAUUCUGGGCUUCCCCAGGAUCUCAUAGCAUCUACAACACUGUUAGUUAAAAGAUGUGCUAUUAUUUUAUGGGCUACUAAGCAGAAAAGUGAUGCCGAUGAGACCGUGACAUUCCAGUGAUUGUAAGGUGUAUUCCAACUUCAGAGAUGGCAAAAUGAAAAAUGGUUCCUUAGAAUAGAAGGAGGCGGUAAUUUCUGAGUUGGUGGUGGUGAACUUGUGCAUGUGUGUUUUUUAUAUAUAUACA